GCCGGGUGCAGUGGCUUACACCUGUAAUCCCAGCAAUCUGGGAGGCUGAGAUGGGCAGAUCACCUGAGGUCAGGAGUUCGAGAUCAGCCUGACCAACAUGGUGAAACCCCAUCUCUA
rnacentral:SRP_RNA from 1 species